CGCGUAGGCGGUGUCUUAAGUGAGAUGUGCAAUCCCCGGGCUCAACUUGGGAACUGCAUCUCAGACUGGGGUGCUAGAGUGCUGGAGAGGGUGGUGGAAUUCCACGUGUAGCGGUGAAAUGCGUAGAGAUGUGGAGGAACACCAGUGGCGAAGGCGGCCACCUGGACAGCAACUGACGCUGAGGCGCGAAAGUGUGGGGAGCAAACAGGAUUAGAUACCCUGGUAGUCCACGCUGUAAACGAUGAACACUUGGUGUGGUGGGAGUUGACCCCUGCCGUGCCGGAGCUAACGCGUUAAGUGUUCCGCCUGGGGAGUACGGUCGCAAGGCUGAA
rnacentral:rRNA from 1 species